UUUCACAGAGGGAUAGCCCAGAGAAAUUUGGAUUAAUACCUCAUAGUAUUAUAGAGUGGCAUCACUUUAUAAUUAAAGUCACAACGGUGAAAGAUGAGCAUGCGUCCCAUUAGCUUGUUGGUAAGGUAACGGCUUACCAAGGCAACGAUGGGUAGGGGUCCUGAGAGGGAGAUCCCCCACACUGGUACUGAGACACGGACCAGACUCCUACGGGAGGCAGCAGUGAGGAAUAUUGGUCAAUGGGCGCAAGCCUGAACCAGCCAUGCCGCGUGCAGGAUGACGGUCCUUUGGAUUGUAAACUGCUUUUGUACAAGAAGAAACAACAUUACGUGUAAUGUCUUGACGGUAUCGUAAGAAUAAGGAUCGGCUAACUCCGUGCCAGC
rnacentral:rRNA from 1 species